CAGUGAGGAAUAUUGGUCAAUGGGCGAGAGCCUGAACCAGCCAAGNUAGCGUGCAGGAUGACGGCCCUAUGGGUUGUAAACUGCUUUUAUAUGGGGAUAAAGUGAGCCACGUGUGGCUUUUUGUAGGUACCAUAUGAAUAAGGACCGGCUAAUUCCGUGCCAGCAGCCGCGGUAAU
rnacentral:rRNA from 1 species